rnacentral:rRNA from 1 species
CAGCAGCCACGGUAAUACGAAGGGUGCAAGCGUUAAUCGGAAUUACUGGGCGUAAAGGGUGCGUAGGCGGUUGCUUAAGUCUGUUGUGAAAUCCCCGGGCUCAACCUGGGAAUGGCAAUGGAAACUGGACGGCUAGAGUGUGUCAGAGGGGGGUAGAAUUCCAGGUGUAGCGGUGAAAUGCGUAGAGAUCUGGAGGAAUACCGAUGGCGAAGGCAGCCAUCUGGCCUAAUACUGACGCUGAGGUACGAAAGCAUGGGGAGCAAACAGGAUUAGAUACCCCCGUAGUCCCUGUCUCUUAUAC